rnacentral:rRNA from 1 species
UACGGAGGGGGCUAGCGUUGUUCGGAAUUACUGGGCGUAAAGCGCACGUAGGCGGCUUUGUAAGUUAGAGGUGAAAGCCCAGGGCUUAACUCUGGAAUUGCCUUUAAGACUGCAUCGCUAGAAUCGUGGAGAGGUGAGUGGAAUUCCGAGUGUAGAGGUGAAAUUCGUAGAUAUUCGGAAGAACACCAGUGGCGAAGGCGACUCACUGGACACGUAUUGAUGCUGAGGUGCGAAAGCGUGGGGAGCAAACAGG